GAUGAACGCUGACAGCAUGCUUAACACAUGCAAGUCAACUGUGGCGGACGGGUGAGUACCGCGUAAAGACCUUUCCUCACUGCUAGGGACACCAUUUGGAAACGAAUGCUAAUACCUGAUACUGUGAGAGACCUUUGCGUCCCAUUAGCUAGUUGGCGAGGUCACGGCUCACCAAGGCGAUGAUGGGUAGCCGGCCUGAGAGGGUGAUCGGCCACAAGGGGACAGAGACACGGCCAGUAGUCCAACGGGAGGAAGCAGUGGAGAAUAUCGGAAAAAGGACCAAAGUGUGAUGAAGCAAUUCUGUGUGCAAGAUGAAGGUUUCGGAAGGUAAAGUGCUUUGAGUUGAGAAGCGGUACCAACAGAGGAAGUGACGGCUAAAUACGUGCCAGCAGCCGCGGUAAUUC
rnacentral:rRNA from 1 species